AUGUUCUCACCUGUGCGUACUAUCUUCAAGAAGGAAUAUACAAAAGAACCUUCUUCUUUUUCGCAUCUCCCAAAUAAGAGAAGAUUGACCAUCUCUUCUUCCAAGCUUCUUUCUGCUUCUUCUCGGCGUAACGAAAGAACUAGACGAGGAGAGGCCUCCGGUUUCAAAUCUCUACCCUACGCCUUACGAGGGCGCCCUAGCCAGAUUAACUCCCAAGGGUCAAUCAAGCCUUUGAAACUAGUUCAAAUAGUCGUCACAGUCUUCGUUCCUGCUUUCAACGAUACUUUCUUAGCUACAUCAGCUUGUAAAACUCUCUCUCCUUCACCAGGAAAGGGAGAGCGAACAAAGUACCAGACGAUUUUGGUUGGGUAA